rnacentral:rRNA from 1 species
UACAUAAAAUACAAGCGUUAAUCGGAAUUACUAAACAUAAAGCGUACGCAGGCGGUUGUGUAAGACAGAUAUGAAAUCCCCGGGCUCAACCUGGGAACUGCAUUUGUGACUGCACGGCUGGAGUACGGCAGAGGGGGAUGGAAUUCCGCGUGUAGCAGUGAAAUGCGUAGAUAUGCGGAGGAACACCGAUGGCGAAGGCAAUCCCCUGGGCCUGCACUGACGCUCAUGCACGAAAGCGUGGGGAGCAAACAGG